AGAGUUUGAUCAUGGCUCAGAACGAACGCUGGCGGCGUGCUUAACACAUGCAAGUCGAGUGCGCGUGCCGUAGCAAUACGGUAUGGCGCACGGCGCACGGGUGCGUAACACGUGGGCAAUCUGCCCUCCGAUGGGGAAUAACUCCGGGAAACCGAAGCUAAUUCCGCAUAAUAUUCCCUGGACUCCGGUUCGGGGAUUCAAAGCAGCAAUGCGUCGGAGGAGGAGCCCGCGCCCGAUUAGCUAGUUGGUGAGGUAACGGCUCACCAAGGCUAUGAUCGGUAGCUGGUCUGAGAGGAUGGCCAGCCACACUGGAACUGAGACACGGUCCAGACUCCUACGGGAGGCAGCAGUGGGGAAUCUUGCGCAAUGGGCGAAGGCCUGACGCAGCGACGCCGCGUGGGGGAUGAAGCUUCUCGGAGUGUAAACCCCUUUCGACCGGGACGAAUGCCCGCAAGGGAGUGACGGUACCGGUAGAAGAAGCCCCGGCUAACUACGUGCCAGCAGCCGCGGUAAGACGUAGGGGGCCAGCGUUGUUCGGAAUUACUGGGUGUAAAGGGUUCGUAGGCGGUGUGGCAAGUCGGGAGUGAAAUUUCUGGGCUUAACUCAGAACCUGCUUCCGAAACUGCUGUGCUGGAGUGUGGGAGAGGCGCGUGGAAUUGCAGGUGUAGCGGUGAAAUGCGUAGAUAUCUGCAGGAACACCCGUGGCGAAAGCGGCGCGCUGGACCACUACUGACGCUGAGGAACGAAAGCUAGGGGAGCAAACAGGAUUAGAUACCCUAGUAGUCC
rnacentral:rRNA from 1 species